UCUGGGUUCAAAUUUUGCCAGAAAGAAUCCUAACAUUGGACUACAACAAAUAGGCUUAGAUGCCAAGAACCCUCUGAAGUAUCCUAGAUGUCCCUAAUAACACUGUUUUCUGGAGCUGUACUAAACUGGGUUUUAUGCCUAUUU